CCUACGGGAGGCAGCAGUGAGGAAUAUUGGUCAAUGGACGAGAGUCUGAACCAGCCAAGUAGCGUGAAGGAUGACUGCCCUAUGGGUUGUAAACUUCUUUUAUAAAGGAAUAAAACGAGGCACGUGUGCCUUUUUGCAUGUACUUUAUGAAUAAGGAUCGGCUAACUCCGUGCCAGCAGCCGCGGUAAUACGGAGGAUCCGAGCGUUAUCCGGAUUUAUUGGGUUUAAAGGGAGCGUAGAUGGGUUGUUAAGUCAGUUGUGAAAGUUUGCGGCUCAACCGGAAAAGUGCAAUUGAUACUGGCAGUCGUGAGUACAGUUGAGGUAGGCGGAAUUCGUGGUGUAGCGGUGAAAUGCUUAGAUAUCAUGAAGAACCCCGAUUGCGAAGGCAGCUUACUAAACUGUGACUGACAUUGAUGCUCGAAAGUGUGGGUAUCAAACAGGAUUAGAUACCCUGGUAGUC
rnacentral:rRNA from 1 species